GAAUCUUAAGCCCUCACCACGCCCUGGCAUUCCCUAGAAAAUGGGCUGAACCAAUCCACAGGCGGGGAAGAGCAGAGCCGGCCUGCCUGCCCCGGGGGGUCUGUUGCCGCUUUGGGGACCCGUGUUUGUGUAAGGAGCUCUCCUGCAGGUUCCAGGAGGAUGAAAACAUCCAAUGACUCCCAGACGUUGCUGAGCUGGACGCAUUUAUUUGUACUAACGCUCCUGGCCACACACUUCCAGAUGGACGGUCCCAAAGAGAAUCGUUUGUUUCCUCUCGUCUCCCUCCACCAUGCACUUUACGACUGCAGAGGGUCAGGCUCACCAUGUGUUUCCCUCUCAUCUCACCCGGCAUGUAUUCUCAAGGUCACCACAAGGCCCAACAUAGCUGCUGAAGCUCCAGCCAUCCUAUCUGCAUUCCAGCCCCUGCGGAGCCGAGUCUGUGAGCUGCGCUACGACUCAGCGUGGUUAAUCACAACAUCUUGGGGCAAGUUGGAAGAAGCCGAUGGGUCCCUCAUAUGUGUUGGGCUGCAUCACUGCCAACCCCUGCCAGCUUUCCCCAGAACCUGGAGACAAGGGAGUUAUUGGAAAAAGAUUCUGCUCGUCUGGAAUCCUUCUCAGAGGACGGUCUUGGCAGGGCUGUUGCCACACACUUGCAACUGGUUUAUCGAGAAAUAGCCGCUUGCUGGGAGGGACCCCUCAGCGGGGCUUAGAAUAUUCUUGUCUGCUCCUUCCCAGGCCUGGAUGGCUGCCUCCUAAAAACAGAACAGCUCUUGGCACACCUAGCAAAGCAAGGGGCUGGAAAUCACUCCACUAAUGGUCUCCACUGGGAUUUCAC
rnacentral:lncRNA from 1 species